GGUCAGUGAUGAGUAAGUAAAAGGUCUGAUUACCCACAAUCCUCUCCUGCUGCCCUCUGGCUCCCAGCAGCCCCUGCUCUCUGCUCCCAUCAUGCUCUAGUGGUGCAGUGGUGGUCACAGGAGCUGCUGACAGACAGGAUGUGACAUCACACUGUGCUGAGUCUGUACAGAGCUCCUACAGACUCUGUGAUGAUGACUGACAUCCAACAGAACCAAUCAGCACGGAGCGUCAGGCUGAGGAGGAGGAGGGAGCUGAUCUCAAGUUUUCAAGCUGAGACC